GUACAUCCAGAGAAUUUAGCAGAGAUGCUUUAGUGCCUUCGGGAACUCUGAGACAGGUGCUGCAUGGCUGUCGUCAGCUCGUGUUGUGAAAUGUUGGGUUAAGUCCCGNAACGAGCGCAACCCUUAUCCUUUGUUGCCAGCACGUAAUGGUGGGAACUCAAAGGAGACUGCCGGUGAUAAACCGGAGGAAGGUGGGGAUGACGUCAAGUCAUCAUGGCCCUUACGAGUAGGGCUACACACGUGCUACAAUGGCGCAUACAAAGAGAAGCGACCUCGCGAGAGCAAGCGGACCUCAUAAAGUGCGUCGUAGUCCGGAUUGGAGUCUGCAACUCGACUCCAUGAAGUCGGAAUCGCUAGUAAUCGUAAAUCAGAAUGUUACGGUGAAUACGUUCCCGGGCCUUGUACACACCGCCCGUCACACCAUGGGAGUGGGUUGCAAAAGAAGUAGAUAGCUUAACCUUCGGGAGGGCGUUUACCACUUUGUGAUUCAUGACUGGGGUGAAGUCGUAACAAGGUAGGCGUAGUGCU
rnacentral:rRNA from 1 species